CCAUUUUAACGUUAUUUAUUGUAGACUUUAUAACGCUUUUUAUUCUUUUACUGCCAUUUUAGCAUCAUUUCAGUGCUACUUUGGACCCAUGUGAGCACACACCGGGCAGGAACCGCGGGGUCGGUCCCGGUCCCCGUGCUGCUCCUGGUGCGGAUCCCGUUCCCAGUGCGGAUCCCGGUGCCGGUGUCGUUCCGGUGUGGGUCCCUUCACCGGUCCCCAUGUGGGCGCCGGUGGCAGUCCCGCUCCCGGUGCUGUUCCCGCUCCCAUUGCCGGUGCGGCUCCCGUUGCCCCUGCCUGUUCCAUUCCCGGUCGCGGUGCGGCUCCCGCUCCCGUUUUUGUUCCCGGUCCCGCUUCCGUUCCCAUUGCCGGUGCAGGUCCCACUACCUUAUGCCGGUCCCGGUGCCUGUGGGGAUGCGUUACCGGUGCGUGUCGCGGUGCUGCUGCCGCUGCCGAUCCCAGUGCGUGUCCCAUCCGCGGUGCGGGUCCCGCUGUCCCCGCUGUCCCUGCCGUUCCCGCUCUCGGUUCCUCUGUCCCCGCUGUCUCUCUGUCCCCGCUGUCCCUGCUGUCCCUCUGUCCCCGCUGUCCCUGCUGUCCCUCUGUCCCCGCUGUCCCUCUGUCUCCGCUGUCGGUCUCUCUGUCCCUGCUGUCCCUCUGUCCCCGCUGUCCCCGCUUUGUGGCGCUACCGGCGGUGACCGCCAGGUGGCGCCGCGCUCCUCCCGCUGCCCCCACCCCGCCGCCGGCGCGGUGCUCGCGGCGCAUGCGCGCUGCGCUCGGGGCGCUCCGGUUCCGGGCGCCGCUCCCUCCGUCCCUCCUUCCUUCCCUCCCUCCCUCGGUCCGUCCCUCCGGCCCCGCCGCCCCGGGACCCCCCGCGCCCCGCCCGCCCCGCGCCCCCCGCGCACCCGCCGCGCUGGGCCCCGCCGCGCUCCGGCGGCGGCGGCGGCUCCGGCUUCCCCCGCCCCUUCCGCCCCCCCGCGCCCCCCCGCCGGCCCAGGCGAGCCCGGAGGCCCCGGCGGCGCCGCAUGGAGCAGCCGGCGGCGGGCUGAGCCCCUGCCCGCACGGAGAUGCUGCUCUCAAAAACUCAGUUCUUCAGAAGCUGGAUCCGUGCAAAUGCCUCCUAAUCCGGGUGAGCAGCUGCUCCCACCCCAACUGCAGGGGCUGAGCGGGCCUGGAGCUCCCACUUCCACCUCAGUUUGGGGAUAUUUUGGAUGCAGGACCUGUUCUUGGAGGGAGCAGAGAUGCUCACCUGGCCUGAGAGCAUCCUUUGGGGGGUGCUGCAUCCUCCUCUCACCUCAUUCCUGCCGUGCUGUGCCUCGUUCCUGCCGUGCCCCGUUCUCAGC
rnacentral:lncRNA from 1 species